AGAUUGAACGCUGGCGGCAGGCUUAACACAUGCAAGUCGAGCGGUAACAGAGAAUAGCUUGCUAUUCUGCUGACGAGCGGCGGACGGGUGAGUAAUGCUUGGGAAUAUGCCUUUAGGUGGGGGACAACAGUUGGAAACGACUGCUAAUACCGCAUAACGUCUACGGACCAAAGGGGGGGAUCUUCGGACCUCUCGCCUAUAGAUUAGCCCAAGUGAGAUUAGCUAGUUGGUGAGGUAAUGGCUCACCAAGGCGACGAUCUCUAGCUGGUUUGAGAGGAUGAUCAGCCACACUGGGACUGAGACACGGCCCAGACUCCUACGGGAGGCAGCAGUGGGGAAUAUUGCACAAUGGGCGCAAGCCUGAUGCAGCCAUGCCGCGUGUGUGAAGAAGGCCUUCGGGUUGUAAAGCACUUUCAGUUGUGAGGAAAGGGGUGUAGUUAAUAAUUGCAUCCUGUGACGUUAACAACAGAAGAAGGACCGGCUAACUCCGUGCCAGCAGCCGCGGUAAUACGGAGGGUCCGAGCGUUAAUCGGAAUUACUGGGCGUAAAGCGUGCGUAGGCGGUUUGUUAAGUGAGAUGUGAAAUCCCGGGGCUCAACCUCGGAACUGCAUUUCAAACUGGCAAGCUAGAGUACUGUAGAGGGUGGUGGAAUUUCCAGUGUAGCGGUGAAAUGCGUAGAGAUUGGAAGGAACAUCAGUGGCGAAGGCGGCCACCUGGACAGAUACUGACGCUGAGGCACGAAAGCGUGGGGAGCAAACAGGAUUAGAUACCCUGGUAGUCCACGCCGUAAACGAUGUCAACUAGCUGUCUGUAGACUUGAUCUGUGGGUAGCGAAGCUAACGCGAUAAGUUGACCGCCUGGGGAGUACGGCCGCAAGGUUA
rnacentral:rRNA from 1 species